AAUGCUGCUAAACCAGGACCAGACUGUGACCAUGAAGAGACAAGUCCAGGCAGCCACGAAAAGGGCCCCCCUCUGUAAGCUUCUGUUGCCCUACGCCGUGUUCAAUUCUUGCCGUCCCUGACGCUGAAGCCCUGGUUAUUCUUCCGGCCAUGUUGAGCCAUCCUUCAGCUGACACAAAGAAAGCCAGCCUUUCAUCGGCGCCCACCUGUGCCAGGAACAGGUCGAAAAGGAGGCAGAGAGCUGCCACUGCCUGCAAGAAAUUUUCACCAGACCAGGGACUGGAAGGCUAUGGCCCAGUGGGCAAAGCUGGUCUAUCUCUUGCUUUUGUGCAGAAGCUUUCAUCGGAUGUGGCCAUGCCCAUUUGGCCCUGCGUCAUCCGUGGCUGUGUUCUCUCUACCACAGCAGAGGUGAGUAGUUGUGUGACAGACGCCUAUGCUCACACAGCCUGAAAAAUACUUCUGACCCUUUAGGGUCUAGACUGAAUGUUCGGGGAGCAAUCAGAGUCCCCCUCCUAAUCAGGGACCAGCUGUGAUGGGUGGCCUUACCGCUAAUGUCCCCAGGAGGGCCCAAGUGUACAUGCUCACUCCCUGGUUGCCAGGCUCCCUGAGAUGGGCAGAUGCCCCCGGGGGUCGGGGUGGCCGUCCCAGGGGAGAAGAGCACCCUCCCCUGAAGCCCAAGCCUUCCCCAUCUCUUUGCACACAUGUCCUCCUUCGAGAGUAGAAAGAACCGGGGAGAAUCUGCCCUAGUCCCGCCCUGGCCCCUCUACCCACUCGCUGGGUCACGGCAGGAGCGCUGUGGAACAGCACCCAAGCUGCCAAGCCUCUAGAUCCUGCGUCCUUUGUGCUUUCAGUUCAUCCAUCUCUAACUGAGGGACAGGAAGGCACCUGCGUCCUUGGCUCUGCUCGGAAAACGCAACCCUUGCUUGUGCAGCCAGGGUGGCUGUUACUGCAGUUCUUGUUUUGGGAGGGGAAGGAACAGCGCCUCUUCACCCAGAGACCUGAGGUUUUUCCGACAGCGAGCCCAAGGCAGCAGCCUCCCAUUCCUAAAAAGGGUCUUCCCCAGUCAGGGAAACAAUGCAAUUAGCAGCCUCUUUGUUCAGGGUGUUAAUUAACUUGUUUCUUCUGAACACACCUUCUUCCAGGUACAGCCCAUCAUCUCUGGGGUGCUGGCAGGGGGAAGGCAAUUAGAUCCUCGUUACUGUGCAAUUAAUUAUGGCUUGAAAAUGGCUCGAGGAGGCUGGGAGGAAUUCCUUGACAGCACCAGCCCCUGGAAGAGGCCUGGCUUAGGAGUGGGCUGAGCUGAGCCUCGUUUGGGGGACCAGGGAAGUGGCUGUGGAGCCUAGUUCAGGGCCUUGCAUGCUACCCAGGGGACAUCUGGGGUACCUCCCUCCCCUGCCCAAGAACUUUCACUGGCUCCCUAGUCCCUAUCGAGUCAAGACCAACUCCCUAC
ensembl:lncRNA